GUUGGGUCCUCUCUAGUUAUCCUCCAUACUGAAUUGCUUUCUUUCAACUUAUCAACUAGUUAGUUUACUCUCAGUUGACUUAAAAACAUUAUUGUUUGGAUGUUAACUGGAUAAAGAUAAAUAUUUUAUAAGAAGCCUGGAGUAAGAUUUUGUUCAUUUGGUCUUAUAGGUCACUCUUAACAUCCAGCUUCAGAAAAUCUGUAAUUUUAUGCGGGGAUACAAAAUUAUUGAUUAAUUUUUCCAUCCGUUUUAGGUGGCUCUACAACAAAGUGACCACAGUUCAGUUUAUGUAAAUGGACAUCUACUCAUGAUAAAAACUCAUCUCUCUAGAAGGAAAAUGUCGAGGAAGACGAGCAGUGAAAAGAAAAUAUGAGAACACAUCCGUGUUCAUUGCAUCCCUUUUUGUAUUCAAAGCUCUGCUAAGGUAUGCCUUCUGCUCAAUUUCUUUAUCUGUAUUAUUUAUACACAACCAAUUUCAACUUGUUUGCAUGAUCAGUUCCAGAUAAGUAAAAAGUUUAUGCAUGUCAACUGUUUGAUGAAAUGCCUGAAUGACUUUACAUUGAUUAUGACCAAUAGUUUGGAAUCGGUUUGGCAAAAAGAUAACCUUUAUCAACAAGGUUGAGCUGCUGUUUAAUGGAUUAUAAUUCAUUUUAGUGAUAUGUCAUAUUUAGAGAUAUACAUAUAAUUAAAUCCAGGGCCGGCCCUAGGGGUGGGCGGGGAGGUUCAAACCCUUGUGCAAAGUAAGCCAAUUGAUGAGCCGCAUUGUGUUGACAAGUUAAGCAAUGAACCAAUUGGUCCAUCUUCUAUUUGCUCAGAGAUUAGAAUUAUUUAUUUGCUAAUAUGUUUUGAAAUCCUUUAUUCAACAAUGAUAAGUCAUCUGCUGACCUUAGCCAUUUAUUUACUUUUCUGUUCAUACUUCAUAGUGAUGGUUGAAGCUAUUAUUUCCCAAAUUUUGGUUUAGUGAUUUAUAUCAGCUGUGAACAACUGGUGAACCACAGGUAAUAUGCAUCCUGAGAAAUGUCAUCCAUCUGGGACGAAUUUUCAGGCUGAGGUGUGGAUUUGGUAUUUGCACCAUCAAAUUUGGUAAGCGGUGGCAACAUGGCCCGGAUGAGUAACGAGUCGAAUGGGUUUCUGUUUAUGGAAAAUGCAAAUAUGAUGAAGAAAAUAAGGCGCCAAUAUUUGGUAGAGGUGGCAACUGAGUCAAAAGAGUUCUCUUGAAAAAUAACAAAAAUAAUGAUGUUUAUCUAGAAAAGGUUCUAACCACCUCAGUUAAUUAUACAUGUGUAAACUAGACGCAUUAUAUGAAGUAAAGGUUCAAUGUUUUACCAUCUAAAGUCAACACCCUUUUAUACAUCUAAAUAUGAACUCAAUACUUGACUUUUUGGUGUCAAAUGACCAAUGCUCAGAACUUGACAAGAAUAACCAUUCGACGUGAGAAAUUAGCAACUACGUUUAUGGGUCCGAAGAUUUGCCCAAACACGUGAAUCAUAGAGGUGGUGUUUCAACAAUCAUCCUCUGUUCCAACCUGUUUAAAAUGCAUUUUUUUUCUUGUUAAAUGUUGAUCUAGGCUCUAAGCAACCACUUAAUAUUAGAAUAUAGCUCAUAUAAAGACUCUUUGAUCCCUCUUUUAAACUAACUUGCAUCACUGAGAUCAUAAAUUCUCUCUUUUUUGAUACUCCAAUUGUUGAGGUAUUGGUGGUGCCCUUCUCAUUCUUGCAGCAUCUAGCACAAGCUUUGCUUCGGUGGUUGAAACUGUAACAAUUAAUUGUUUUUUGACAUCCAUUUAUAAACAAGAACAGCAAAUAAACUGAAUCUUAAAAAGAAUGAACAAUAUACUUAUAAAAUCAGAAAUUGCAGAUUCAUAUAUGAAACAUCACCUCUACUUUUCUUUUUAUGUUUAAGCCCUGCAUACAAAACAAGUCACAAACUUAAUUCAUUUUGCUCAAUUUUCACGAGUAUCUAACAAUGGCAAUGAAAAAUCAUCCGUCCCUAGGCAUCAACUAACUUCUUUUUCCUACCAUACCCACCCAUCAAACUGUUCCCAGAUUUCAUAUCCCAGUCUGAAUGGUGUAUCUAUACAAUUUUGCCAGAUAGGUAUCAUAUUUAAAAAGUUUGUUAGAUCAAACUGUUUCCUCUCAGCACCUAGAUUCUCUUUUGGGCAUUUAUUCGAACCAUUGUGAGCAGUAUUUAACAUGUAGUUCAUCAAGUAUGCAGAUGUGAUAGGGUUACAUCUGUGACAACCUGAACUUUCAAGGUUAGUCUUGUUUAGUUUCUUGUUUAGUUUCGUGGCACUCGACUUAUAUCACUACUGUUCAGGUUUCACUAUACACGACGUCACUACGUAUAUGUUGCGUGAAUUCAUUAAAUUGUUUAAAUUACAUUGGAUCGGUAGGAUUAAUUGGUUGUGAGUUUAUUAAUGUUAAAUACUAAAUACUUAUGUUAUGUUAAUGUGCAUUUUGUUCAAAAAUAUACCCACACUAUUAUUAUGUGCACAUGGCCCAACUCUCUAAUUUAAUUGUGAGAAGACCCUCGGCCUAGAAGAACCCAACUGAAGCCCACCCCUGGCCGAUUACGUAUUUACGCAGGGGACAUGUAAGUUGUGAUUGUAUAGAAAACAUACUAUC
rnacentral:lncRNA from 1 species